CACUAUGAAGCUAAAUAGCAUUAACCUUUUAAGUUAAAGAUUGAGAAAUAGAUUCUCCAUAGUGA
rnacentral:tRNA from 1 species